rnacentral:rRNA from 1 species
UAACGCGUGAGCAACCUGCCUUUCAGAGGGGGAUAACGGUCGGAAACGACCGCUAAUACCGCAUAACAUAUGCUGGUCGCAUGGUCGGCAUAUCAAAGAUUUAUCGCUGAAAGAUGGGCUCGCGUCUGAUUAGCUAGUUGGUGAGGUAACGGCUCACCAAGGCGACGAUCAGUAGCCGGACUGAGAGGUUGAACGGCCACAUUGGGACUGAGAUACGGCCCAGACUCCUACGGAAGGCAGCAG